CCUACGGGAGGCAGCAGUGGGGAAUAUUGCACAAUGGGGGAAACCCUGAUGCAGCGACGCCGCGUGAGUGAAGAAGUAUUUCGGUAUGUAAAGCUCUAUCAGCAGGGAAGAAAAUGACGGUACCUGAUUAAGAAGCCCCGGCUAACUACGUGCCAGCAGCCGCGGUAAUACGUAGGGGGCAAGCGUUAUCCGGAUUUACUGGGGGUUAAGGGAGCGUAGACGGCAGCACAAGUCUGGAGUGAAAUGCCGGGGCUUAACCCCGGAACUGCCUUGGAAACUGUGGAGCUAGGGUGCAGGAGAGGUAAGUGGAAUGCGUGGUGUAGCGGUGAAAUGCGUAGAUAUUAGGAGGAACACCAGUGGCGAAGGCGGCUUACUGGACUGUAACUGACGUUGAGGCUCGAAAGCGUGGGGAGCAAACAGGAUUAGAUACCCUAGUAGUC
rnacentral:rRNA from 1 species